CUGCCUACCGGCAAGGCGCCGGGCCCGGAUGGGUUCUCAGUGGAGUUCCUUCGCCACUACUGGGGCACAAUUAAGGAGGACUUCAUGGGGGCAUUCGAUAAGCUUUACCAUAUGAAUGGUUGAGAAUUCCACUGCCUAAAUGAAGCCUUCAUCACCCUCGUCGCGAAGCGUCCAUAUGCCUCCUCCCUGUUCGACUACAUGCCGAUUAGCCUGAUUCACCCGGUUUCCAAGCUUGUAGCUAAGGUCCUAGCUCUGAGGCUCGCCCCGCGGCUCGGGGAGUUUGUUUCCGCUUGCUAGAGCGCACUCAUUGUCGGGCGCUGCAUCCACAGCAAUAUUAUGCUAGUUCAGCACACAACACGGCACCUACACCAGGCCGGUGCCCACCGGGUCCUCCUCAAGCUUGAUAUCUCCCAGACGUUCGAUUCCGUAUCCUGGCCCUUCUUGCUGGAGGUCCUUCGUCACCUUGGCUUCGGUCGGAGAUGGUCUGAGUGGGUGUCCAUUAUGUUAUCUUCAGGUAGCACACGCAUCCUCGUGAAUGGCUCGCCGGGGCCGCCGAUUCAUCACGCUAAGGGCCUCCGGCAGGGUGACCCAGUAUCUCUUGUGCUCUUCACGCCGAUGAUCGAUGCCCUGAACUCCCUUCUGUAG
rnacentral:rRNA from 1 species